UACGCAGGGGGCAAGCGUUGUCCGGAAUCAUUGGGCGUAAAGCGCGUGUAGGCGGCCCGAUAAGUCCGCUGUGAAAGUCCAGGGCUCAACCCUGGGAUGCCGGUGGAUACUGUCGGGCUCGAGUCCGGAAGAGGAGUGUGGAAUUCCUGGUGUAGCGGUGAAAUGCGCAGAUAUCAGGAGGAACACCAAUGGCGAAGGCAGCACUCUGGGACGUGACUGACGCUGAGACGCGAAAGCGUGGGGAGCAAACAGG
rnacentral:rRNA from 1 species